rnacentral:rRNA from 1 species
CAAAAGCGGAGGAAAAGAAACCAACCGGGAUUGCCUUAGUAACGGCGAGUGAAGCGGCAAAAGCUCAAAUUUGAAAUCUGGUACCUUCGGUGCCCGAGUUGUAAUUUGGAGAGGGCAACUUUGGGGCCGUUCCUUGUCUAUGUUCCUUGGAACAGGACGUCAUAGAGGGUGAGAAUCCCGUGUGGCGAGGAGUGCGGUUCUUUGUAAAGUGCCUUCGAAGAGUCGAGUUGUUUGGGAAUGCAGCUCUAAGUGGGUGGUAAAUUCCAUCUAAAGCUAAAUAUUGGCGAGAGACCGAUAGCGAACAAGUACAGUGAUGGAAAGAUGAAAAGAACUUUGAAAAGAGAGUGAAAAAGUACGUGAAAUUGUUGAAAGGGAAGGGCAUUUGAUCAGACAUGGUGUUUUGUGCCCUCUGCUCCUUGUGGGUAGGGGAAUCUCGCAUUUCACUGGGCCAGCAUCAGUUUUGGUGGCAGGAUAAAUCCAUAGGAAUGUAGCUUGCCUCGGUAAGUAUUAUAGCCUGUGGGAAUACUGCCAGCUGGGACUGAGGACUGCGACGUAAGUCAAGGAUGCUGCA